rnacentral:rRNA from 1 species
GCGGAGGGAUCAUUACCGAGUUUACAACUCCCAAACCCCUGUGAACAUACCUUAUGUUGCCUCGGCGGAUCAGCCCGCGCCCCGUAAAACGGGACGGCCCGCCGCAGGAACCCCAAACUCUGUUUUUAGUGGAACUUCUGAGUAUAAAAAACAAAUAAAUCAAAACUUUCAACAACGGAUCUCUUGGUUCUGGCAUCGAUGAAGAACGCAGCAAAAUGCGAUAAGUAAUGUGAAUUGCAGAAUUCAGUGAAUCAUCGAAUCUUUGAACGCACAUUGCGCCCGCCAGUAUUCUGGCGGGCAUGCCUGUUCGAGCGUCAUUUCAACCCUCAAGCCCAGCUUGGUGUUGGGAGCUGCGUCCGCGCACUCCCCAAAUACAUUGGCGGUCACGUCGAGCUUCCAUAGCGUAGUAAUUUACACAUCGUUACUGGUAAUCGUCGCGGCCACGCCGUUAAACCCCAACUUCUGAAUGUUGACCUCGGAUCAGGUAGGAAUACCCGCUGAACUUAAGCAUAUCAA